rnacentral:rRNA from 1 species
UACGUAGGGUGCAAGCGUUGUCCGGAAUCAUUGGGCGUAAAGCGCGCGUAGGUGGCCAUUUAAGUCCGCUGUGAAAGUCAAAGGCUCAACCUUUGAAAGCCGGUGGAUACUGGAUGGCUAGAGUACGGAAGAGGCGAGUGGAAUUCCUGGUGUAGCGGUGGAAUGCGCAGAUAUCAGGAGGAACACCAAUAGCGAAGGCAGCUCGCUGGGACGUUACUGACACUGAGGAGCGAAAGCGUGGGGAGCAAACAGG